AAACCCACGACUAGACGAAAGAAAACCGAAAUAAAUGGGAAAUAACAACUGCCGCCACCCACGCACGCAUGUCUCAUCCAUCCAGACCACGAGUAUCAUUCAUACGCCACCGCCGAACCUACCUUGGCUCACGCCAUAUCAAACUUUUCGUCUCCUUUCUAUCUCGCUGACACCGCUCACGGCGACGACGGCGGAGAAAUUAACCUUGUCGAUGACGCCACAGCCCAUAGUUGCAGGGAGGAAGGGAAGAGAGCUCACCAUGGACGCCCUGCUCGCCAUGGCCAUGCCCAUGGAGGAAGGGAGAGCCACCAGCAGGGGAGGAGAAGUAAGCUAUCUGCGCGCACAGAAGAUCCAGAUCGGAGGGGAGGCGGCGCCUGAGCGCGAGAACGUCCGGUGGAGUUGCGAUUUGACCAACGGCAAUUGACGCCAUCCCUGAUGGUUGCUUUUGGGACUGGGCUCAAUCGUAAUCGAAUCUGGUUACCUUUUACUGCCAUCACCAUUUGAUCGAUUAAAUCGGAAAGAGAAAAUGGGAAGAUGGUACUACGAGGGGGAGUACUACGUUUAUUCUGAUCUAAAAAAGCUACAUUUGUUCUUGUAAAGACCUUAUUACAUACAGAAUCCCUUUCUACGAACUGCAGGCCGGAUCAUGAAAUUGGUGGCGACCUCACUGCCUGGCACCGAGCAACGUAAAUUGACCACCCGCCUUUCCAUCGCGAGCUUCUACAAGAGAAGUGAAUUGUUGCAUAUUUGUUGUGGAGCGGGAGAAGAAUAACAGUAUAGGUUAUGUACGAUGAUUCUUCCAUUGCAAGCCCCUACAACUACAAGAGAAGUGAAUUGUUGCAUGUUUGUUGUGGAGCUGGACAAAAAAGUGUUACAUAUUUUUUGUAUGUUAGUUUAACACUUUUUAUUUUUUUUUCUUGUAGUUGCCGACCUUGCUACGUUUCUCUUAGUUGUUGCUUUUUCUACUGUCACAGUUUAAUCAGUGGUGUUCUCUUGUUUUUAUGGACCUUUGCAGGGUGGAUGCUGGGCUAGGAUGGCGAAGUGGACUGAUGCGUAUGAUCUUCAUGCUAGAAAUCAGAUACUGAUGAUCGCAAUAUCACCCACACCGACGGAAACCCCUGUGGCGUGAAAUCAACGAUUGAUCACCGAUCACCUGUGGUUUCAUGGGAAAGCAGGAAUAACCACCUCGGUGCAGGAAAUGCUCAUAUCUACAGCGGUACUUAGCGUUGUCGCCUACAACAAUUUCUUCCUGGCAUCCCAGUUGGCAGGAAAAGCUCUAUCGCUCUGGGUUAGUCCUUCUUGGGCUUGCUACAGGGACAGAGUAAUAUUACUGAAAAAAGAGUUACUAGACGCUGAAAAAAAAAUACUCGGCAUAAUAUUUGUGAAUUUUGAUAGAAAUAUUGACUUUUUCCUGGAUCGGAGUGAUAGGCUCGUUGCAGACGUAGUCCUUGCGAAGCGGAGCCAAAAGAGAUGCUAGACAAAAAUAAUACUGAGUUGCCAGAUAAAGACGCUACCUCUGCAUUGUCGUGGUAGCCAAAUACUGGUAAAAAUUUAUCAGGUGCUGCAUGGUCUUCCUCCAUUAUCCAUCCACCGGUUCUGGUUGUGAGAACGAUUGGCCAGCAAUUUUUUCUAGCGUCGAUUGGACAACACCACAAUGUAUGGCAUGUCACAGUUAAUCAGCUGUGCGGCAGUAAAAGGAGAAGAGGAAGGGAGACAAUCUUAUGAUUUGUGAGGGUACCUUAUGAUUUGUGAGGGUCAUGUUGAAACGAAAAGCUGAAAUAAAGUUUGUUGUUACAUGUUAGGGUGCAGGUUUAUGACUGUAAGAGAGGUGGAAGUUAAAAUAUAAUUCCAACAAAGUUAUAUUGUCAACUUGUUUAUCGUUUCUAAGCACA